UUGGCAGUUGGUUGGUGAUAACCUUGUUGUUUACUUCAAGUAUUUAAGCUGCGUCUCAAUUAUAAUACUGGCAUCCUGUGACUUUAACAAGCUGCACUUAGACCAUCCCGGGAGGAGCGAAAGACCCAGACUUGUCUUUAAGCAGCUAGUUGGGGCUCCACUGAGCAGAGCUCAUUUCAGGAUAUGGACGCAAUCAUGGUCCCCAUCAAUGCCUACCAGAUAGCCACACUGACACUGCUUAAGAAGAUGUGUGUACUGUGACUUAGCAUCUCAUCUGUGCAUAAAAGAAGAAAAAUUUUAAGGACUAAAGUCAGAGUCACUCUGGAAAGAAGAGGAGGACAAAGAUUAUACCAUGAAAAAAUGAAAGAGAAAGAUUCCUGGUAGAAGUCCAUUCACGGGCCAAAGAUCUAAACAGACAUUUCUCCAAAGAAGACAUACAGAUGGCUAACAAACACAUGAAAAGAUGCUCAACAUCACUCAUUAUUAGAGAAAUGCAAAUCAAAACCACAAUGAGGUACCACUACACGCCAGUCAGGAUGGCUGCUAUCCAAAAGUCUACAAGCAAUAAAUGCUGGAGAGGGCGUGGAGAAAAGGGAACCCUCUUACACUGUUGGUGGGAAUGCAAACUAGUACAGCCACUAUGGAAAACAGUGUGGAGAUUUCUUAAAAAAUUGGAAAUAGAACUGCCAUAUGACCCAGCAAUCCCACUCCUGGGCAUACACACCGAGGAAACUAGAUCUGAAAGAGACACAUGCACCCCAAUGUUCAUCGCAGCACUGUUUAUAAUAGCCAGGACAUGGAAGCAACCUAGAUGCCCAUCAGCAGAUGAAUGGAUAAGGAAGCUGUGGUACAUAUACACCAUGGAAUAUUACUCAGCCAUUAAAAAGAAUUCAUUUGAACCAGUCCUAAUGAGAUGGAUGAAACUGGAGCCCAUUAUACAGAGUGAAGUAAGCCAGAAAGAAAAACACCAAUACAGUAUACUAACGCAUAUAUAUGGAAUUUAGAAAGAUGGUAAUGAUAACCCUAUAUGCAAAACAGAAAAAGAGACACAGAAAUACAGAACAGACUUUUGAACUUUG